CAGCAGCCGCGGUAACACGUAGGUGGCAAGCGUUGUCCGGAAUUAUUGGGCGUAAAGGGCUCGCAGGCGGUUUCUUAAGUCUGAUGUGAAAGCCCCCGGCUCAACCGGGGAGGGUCAUUGGAAACUGGGAAACUUGAGUGCAGAAGAGGAGAGUGGAAUUCCACGUGUAGCGGUGAAAUGCGUAGAGAUGUGGAGGAACACCAGUGGCGAAGGCGACUCUCUGGUCUGUAACUGACGCUGAGGAGCGAAAGCGUGGGGAGCGAACAGGAUUAGAUACCCGUGUAGUCCCUGUCUCUUAUAC
rnacentral:rRNA from 1 species